rnacentral:rRNA from 1 species
GAUGAACGCUGGCGGCGUGCCUAAUACAUGCAAGUCGAGCGAACGGACGAGAAGCUUGCUUCUCUGAUGUUAGCGGCGGACGGGUGAGUAACACGUGGAUAACCUACCUAUAAGACUGGGAUAACUUCGGGAAACCGGAGCUAAUACCGGAUGAUAUUUUGAACCGCAUGGUUCAAAAGUGAAAGACGGUCUUGCUGUCACUUAUAGAUGGAUCCGCGCUGCAUUAGCUAGUUGGUAAGGUAACGGCUUACCAAGGCAACGAUGCGUAGCCGACCUGAGAGGGUGAUCGGCCACACUGGAACUGAGACACGGUCCAGACUCCUACGGGAGGCAGCAGUAGGGAAUCUUCCGCAAAGGGCGAAAGCCUGACGGAGCAACGCCGCGUGAGUGAAGAAGGUCUUCGGAUCGUAAAACCCUGUUAUUAGGGAAGAACAUAUGUGUAAGUAACUGUUCACAUCUUGACGGUACCUAAUCAGAAAGCCACGGCUAACUACGUG